GGAUCUACUAUCAGAGCAUUCGUAAAUGUCAUAUUUGGGGGCUCUUGUGAAAUAAAAGCGAGAGGAAACCAGACCAGUGUGUCUUCAUGCCAGAGCCAGAACUUUCUAUAGGGUGGGGCUGAAUGAGGAAGCCAAAUACUUCUGUCCCCUUCCUUGGCUCACAUCAGAAAGUAUUUUUAUUUGGUUACAUACACAUUUUCUUUCUUCCCUUGGUCAUGAAUCAGAACAUUUUAUAGCUAAGAGGAGUUUUAGGGAUAUUCUAGUUGCUUCUCAUUUUACAGACAGAGCAGGUCCUGGAGCCUAGUGGUACCCUUGUUUCCUGACUCAGACGCUGGUUCAAAGAGUCGCUGAGGCCAGGCCUGGUGGCUCAUGCCUGUAAUCCCAGCACUUUGGGAGGCCGAGGUGGGCGGAUCACCUGAGGUCAGGAGUUCGAGACCAGCCUGGUCAAUAUGGCGAAACCCCGUCUCUACUAAAAAUACAAAAAUUAGCCAAGUGUUGUAGCGCAUGCCUGUAAUCCCAGCUACUCAGGAGACUGAGACAGGAGAAUGGCUUGAACCUGGGAGGCAGAGGUUGCAGUGAGCCGAGAUCACACCACUGCACUGUAGCCUGGGCAAGAGUGAGACCCUGUCUCAAAAAACUAAACAAAACAAAACAAAGAACAAAGAGUCACUGAGCUCAACCGAAGGGCAGUCCUGAACCUCUCUGAUAGUCCUUGCACACGGUACCCUCCACAGGGCAUGGUGGUACAGAAGAGCUUUCCUCCUUGCACUUUGUUGAACUGUCUCUUUUUGCAGGAGGCACCUGGCUCGCCCAGGUUCAGCCCCAGGGACUGAAUGCCAACAGGCUGAGCUCAGGAAGGGACCUUCAGUCUGUGGCAAAGGUGGGAAGACAACCAUGAUUGAUAGAGUCCAGCCGCGCGCACAGCGAUUUCACAUUAUCGCAUCGCCAUCUUCACGGCAAUCUUUGGAAGGAGGCAUCUUCUUCCCAUCCUCAACCAAGGCAAAUGCAGCUGAGAAGCGUGAGCAGCUCCCCAGAUGUAUCCAGGCUUCAAGGCCAGAUUCUGAGGGUCUAGGUCCUGCCCCUCCCCUGAGGUGGUAUCAGAGAAACUGCAGUCCUGGGCAGGUGACCAAGGCAAGAACUCAGCCCAGGGAGAAAUCUGGGACAGAUUCCUGAAACUGGAGGAGAAGUCGGAGACUCACUUGAAUGAACUAAGCAAAAAGCCAACUCGUAGACCUGGGGUGCAAGGGGGUGCGGAGCUAACUGCAUGCUGAGCCCAGGAGUGGCGGGCCCCAAACUCCCUGGUUCCACCUGCGCCUGCGGCGGGACGGGAUGUGUGCCAGGCACCCCCAGGCUUCCUUUCAGAGAGUUCAAGCCUAGCCUCUGUUACUCGUUGACUGAUGUUCCCUGUCUAAAAGCCUUCUUGACUUCUAACCCCACAUUUUGGGCUGAGUCAGCUGCCUUCUAAACUCCUUUUAGCACAGAACAGCUGGUCACUGUGCCCGGUCAGCUGAUGAGAGGAUCAACUUCACUGGUGGUCAAGGGUCUGGAUGCCCAGUCCCUGCAGUGGCAACGAGGCACACCCUGACCCUGGGGAUCACUUUUCGUGGAGAGGACAGGACAGACCAGGAUGUGGACACGUGCUUUGAAGUUACAGAGCCAGGCACUGUGAGACCGCAUCUCCGCCCCCGUAAGGAUGAGCAGGUGGGGAGCUGCGGUUAGACUCGGACCUGGGAGAUAAGAAGGCGCCUGUACAAGGUGUGGGCGGAGGAGCUUCGGGUGAAGAGGGGUGCAUGACUCAGCACUCGGCCAUCCUGGAUCAGGGCCCAGGCCCGCCAGGAAAGCUGCAGGGACGGGUGAUGAAAUUCAAGUGUGGAUUGUGGGCUGGAUAAGGGCAUUCUGUUUAUGUUGGAUUUCCUGAUUUUGAUCAUUAUACUGCAUGUAUAAGAGAGUAUCUUUUUUUUCUUUUUUCUUUUUUUGACAGCGUUUCACUCUGUAGCCCAGGCUGGAGUGCUCAACUCACUGCAACCUCCACCUCCCCAGCUAAAGUGAUCCUCCCACUUCAGCCUCCCGAGUCAUGGGACCACAGGCACGUGCCACCACACCCAGCUCAUUUUUCUGUAUUUUUGUAGAGAUGGGGUCUCGCCAUGUUGCCCAGCCUGGUCUUGAACUCCUGGCCUCAAGCAAUUCUCCUGCCUCAGUAUUGGGAAUUACAAGCAUGAGCCACAACACCCAGCUGAGAAAAUAUAUAUAAAUAUAUAUAUAUUUUAAUAAAAAAUAUUUUCUUUCUUUAGAGAGCAAAAAAUCAUCAGCUGAGAAUAUCUUAAUUCUUAGGAAAUAUACACUGAAGUCUCGAGGGCCACAGAGCCUUCAAAUCCCUCUCAAAUGAUGCAGAAAAGAUACGAAAAGAGAAAGAAAAAGAGAGUGGCCAGACGCAGUGGCUCAUGCCUAUAAUCCCAGUCAGGUGUGGUGGUGUGCACCUGUAGUCUCAUCUACUUGGGUGGCUGAGGUGGGAGGAUUGCUUUAGCCCAGGAGGCAG
rnacentral:lncRNA from 10 species